GAUGAACGCUGGCGGCGGGCCUAAUACAUGCAAGUCGAGCGAACGGAGGAGAAGCUUGCUGCUCGGAUGUUAGCGGCGGACGGGAGAGUAACACGUGGAGAAUCUAUCUAUAAGACAGGGAUAACUUCGGGAAAUCGGUACUAAUACCGGAUGAUAGUUUGAACCGCAGGGUUCAAAAACGAAAGAGGGUCUAGCUGUCACCUAGAGAUGGAACCGCGUUGCAUUAGCUAGUUGGUAAGGUAACGGCAUACCAAGGCAACGCUGCAUAGGUGACCUGAGAGGAGGGUCGGCCACACUGCAACUGUACCGCGGUCCAGACCCCUACGGUACGCAGCAGUGGGGAAUCUUCCACUAUGGGCGAAAGUCUGGCGGGGCCCCGCCACCUCGCGUAUGAAGCUCCUCCGAUCGUAAAACUCUGUUAUUAGUGAAGAACAUAUGUGUAAGUCACUGUGCACUACUUGACGGUACCUAAUGAGAAAGCCCCGGCUAACUCCGUG
rnacentral:rRNA from 1 species